CAGACCCAUGGGCGGUUGCGUCUCCCAGGCCUCAUGCCAUGCUGUCUUUUGAACGCAAACCUGUGCGGAUGGGCCUUGAACGGCUGUUUCAUCUAGUCAUCCAGGGCCUGACGAGAUUUGACUGGUCCAGUCCCAAGCAUUUUGCUUUCAUUGAGCAGGAUAUGCCCGAGAGUAUGACAUGCAACAAAGGUCUCCGACUAAAAUCAGACCCGGGACGAUGGGCACAAGCCAGAAGUGACCACAUAUGGACGAGAGGGUGAAGCCAUGGAGAAGCGAGGGCUGGAACUGACCGAGAUCCCGAGGACACCACCGUGGUAGCGACUUGUCAGU